rnacentral:rRNA from 1 species
AACGAUGAAGCCCUUCGGGGUGGAUUAGUGGCGAACGGGUGAGUAACACGUGGGCAAUCUGCCCUUCACUCUGGGACAAGCCCUGGAAACGGGGUCUAAUACCGGAUAACACUCCUCAGAGCAUUCUGGGGGGUUAAAAGCUCCGGCGGUGAAGGAUGAGCCCGCGGCCUAUCAGCUUGUUGGUGGGGUAAUGGCCUACCAAGGCGACGACGGGUAGCCGGCCUGAGAGGGCGACCGGCCACACUGGGACUGAGACACGGCCCAGACUCCUACGGGAGGCAGCAGUGGGGAAUAUUGCACAAUGGGCGAAAGCCUGAUGCAGCGACGCCGCGUGAGGGAUGACGGCCUUCGGGUUGUAAACCUCUUUCAGCAGGGAAGAAGCGAAAGUGACGGUACCUGCAGAAGAAGCGCCGGCUAACUACGUGCCAGCAGCCGCGGUAAUACGUAGGGCGCAAGCGUUGUCCGGAAUUAUUGGGCGUAAAGAGCUCGUAGGCGGCUUGUCACGUCGGAUGUGAAAGCCCGGGGCUUAACCCCGGGUCUGCAUUCGAUA